rnacentral:rRNA from 1 species
GGCUCAGGAUGAACGCUAGCUACAGGCUUAACACAUGCAAGUCGAGGGGAAACGAUAUUGGAAGCUUGCUUCCGAUAGGCGUCGACCGGCGCACGGGUGAGUAACGCGUAUCCAACCUGCCCAUCACUUGGGAAUAACCUUGCGAAAGUAAGACUAAUGCCCAAUGACAUUUAUAGAAGGCAUCUGAAAUGAAUUAAAGAUUUAUCGGUGAUGGAUGGGGAUGCGUCUGAUUAGCUUGUUGGCGGGGUAACGGCCCACCAAGGCGACGAUCAGUAGGGGUUCUGAGAGGAAAGCCCCCCACAUUGGAACUGAGACACGGUCCAAACUCCUACGGGAGGCAGCAGUGAGGAAUAUUGGUCAAUGGGCGAGAGCCUGAACCAGCCAAGUAGCGUGCAGGAUGACGGCCCUAUGGGUUGUAAACUGCUUUUAUAGGGGGAUAAAGUGUGCCACGUGUGGCAUAUUGCAGGUACCCUAUGAAUAAGGACCGGCUAAUUCCGUG